CGCCCUCUACAAACAGACAAUGGCUGACGACUCAAUAUGAAUCCCCAGUUUUGAGUCAACACUAUUAACCAACUAAUAGGAGGAAGUGAAAUCGGCUUGCUGAGCAGUGUUUACGUUGUGAUUAGCUUUCAAGGCACAGUAGAGCGGAGUCAAGCAAGUGGGGUGAUAUUUUCAAAACGUGAGAGGCUCUUUGUACAAUUUGCAAAUUACAGAGUUAAAAUCAGUGGCACAAAGUGAUGUGGAACGCAGGCCAUUGCUCUCAUCAGCACGCAGACCACGGAGGAGAUGAUGCACAUAGUGGACCAGAGCUUGGGAUUCAAUAUACUUUAUAUACCAAAAUCGACAUCAAUAACGUUCAGUGCCUGAACGAAGCCAUUGAGGGAUCAGGAAAAACUGUAUUCAAACCGUGGGACGAGCGGUUGGAUUUUAGCCGGGUGGUCGAAUCAGACUGCGAUGAGGAGCUCUUAUUUUCUGUCCCUUUUACGGGUAAUGUUAAACUGAAAGGGAUUAUUGUCGUUGGAGGUGAAGGCGAUUUCCAUCCGUCAGCUUUGCGCCUUUUUAAAAAUCGGCCCAACAUGUCCUUUGAUGAUGCAGCUGCCGAACCAGACCAAGAGUUUGAGCUAAGCAGGGACAUCGAUGGAACGCUCGAGUACCCCACGAAGAUUGUGAAGUUUGCUAAUGUGCACCACCUCACCCUUCAUUUUCCGAAAAGCUUUGGAGCGGACACCACAAAAAUAGUUUAUAUUGGACUAAAAGGGGAGUUUACUGAGCUGCCGCUAGGUCUCAUUAUCAUAAAAUACUUACGCGCUACUGGAUGAUAACAUUGUUCGGUGCAGUUCGGCUAGAGCCGCCAUUCGACGAAGUUGAGCAAAACAAGGUGCUUUUAGCAAAUUCAAUGAGCUGCAAAGCGGUAUCGAACCCAGUUAUUUUUGACGACGAUUCAUUUAAGCUGACGAAACUACAGUGGACGGAUAGACUAUUUCCGUACGUAGCUGUACAAUGGAAAUAUAGUGGACGGUGAGGGCAAUCUUAGAAUAAAAGGUAAACCUAUUUUUUAAAAUGUUGUCAAAGUUAAAGAAAAUCUCACGAACUAUUACCUACCAGCCUAUUUUAGACACCUAUUUAUUAAUGCGUUAUGCUUACAAUUGUUUUUACUGCGAUG